UACGGAGGAUGCGAGCGUUAUCCGGAUUUAUUGGGUUUAAAGGGUGCGUAGGUUGUUUUUUAAGUCAGCGGUGAAAUGCCCCCGCUCAACGGGGUGAAGUGCCAUUGAUACUGCCUUGCUGGAAUGCGGAUGCCGUGGGAGGAAUGUGUGGUGUAGCGGUGAAAUGCAUAGAUAUCACACAGAACACCGAUUGCGAAGGCAUCUCACGAAUCCGCUAUUGACGCUGAUGCACGAAAGCGUGGGUAUCAAACAGG
rnacentral:rRNA from 1 species